rnacentral:lncRNA from 1 species
AUGUGAUGGAGGCAGAGAGAAUGAUAAAGGUAUCGCUUCUAUGUUCCAACAAGUCUCCGACCUUAAGACCGACCAUGUCGGAAGUUGUGAAGAUGCUUGAAGGCGAAACAGAGAUAGAACAGAUCAUCGCAGAUCCUGGAGUGUACGGAGAUGAACUAAGAUUUAAGAGAUUUUCAGAGAUUGGUACAUCAUCUUUACCUUCUGACUACCUCGUGUCAAUUCCUUCGUCUUGUGAAUCUGCUUACGACCUGUACCCUCUUAGUCCAGAGUCCACUGUUUUUUCUAGACCAUAGCUUCGAAUCUAUAGUGAACCACUCGGAAACUCGAUCAUAGUUAUAAAACAUGUCUGACACAAUAACUAAAUCACAUGUGAUAAAAUUGUGGAUACUGAAGCUGGAUUAGUUGGGAAUAAAGUGUUGUAGAAAAAUCAAAACCCAAAAUUUAAUAAAAGUUAUAUUCCCAGUCAUACUUUUGAAGCCUUUAAAUUUUAAAUUUUUUUUCUAUUUCUAGCAACUUAUGAGGACCAUAUUCUCAAAUUCUCUGAAUGAAAAAAUAUAAUCUAUCAUAUCUCACUUAAUUUUAAAUAGUCUAUACUCUUAGUGAAUUAUUAGAUUUUCAUUUUUAUCCCUACAUUUCUUCCUAAGUUAAACUUUUAAAUUUUAAAUCUUAAUUGAUGGAAGUACAACUUGGUAUACCUAGAUAGAUUUGUUUUAAGAUUUGUUUUCAUAUCCGACCUAGAUAGUAUAGUUAGUAAAUAGAUAGAUUCAAUAAAGGUUUAUGGGUCUUCUCAUAAUUGUUUUGAGUAAACUUAAUAAUAAAAUAAAUUAGAUAUAAAUGGAAGAGUAUAUACAUUUAAAUUUUUGAGAUUAAGCGUAUAUCAUCAUUUGAUCCAACUUAUCAUAUAUUAUUACAACUUGAAGGUUAUCAUGUGGAUAUUUAACACUCAAAAAGUUAUGAAACGAUGAGUGAUAUUUCUCAGUUAUGCUUUUGCAGCCUCUACAUUCACACAAAGAAAAAAGAAUUUUACUUUUUUUUUCUCCAACAUAUUCUCUUUCCAUUUCGUACCCAAAUGUCAAAAAUUCUACAUUUUCCACAAAUAUCACUAAAAAAUUUUCCAAGUGCAGUUCCCAAAAAGUAUUUCGCGGACUUCUCUGAUAUUCUUGGUGGAAAUCUGGAUCAUAGCUGUUUGGUUGGUGAGUUAGUUUCUUACGCAGUUAAAGACUCUUUCACUUUGUAGUUACUUGUUUAUGAUUUGACACUUAUUUUUGUUAUGUAGAUGUGGUUGGCCAAAUAGUUAACUUCGGGUCUCUGUAAAAACAAAAUAAUUAAAGGAAAAGACAACAUGAGGCUCUUGGUUGAGCUGCGUGACGCAAAGUAAGACUUUGUUUUUAAUCUUAGUUAUACUUUGCUAGCUAAACGUCUAUUAACUGUAUUUAACUUAAGUUUAUAUUAUACAGUAAUGUAAAGAUGAUGUGUACUCUGUGGGGUUGUUAUGCUAAACAAGUAUACGAUUACAGUAGGAGUAACAUGUCGACCAUGAUUAUUUGUGUUAUCAGAUUUUGUUCUGUUAAAGAGUGAAAAAGUAUAUAAUAUUGUUUCAAUUUGUGUAAAAUGAUUGCGAGCAUAACAUAUUAAUAAGAUCAAUAUACUUUGUAGGUGCUUACUCCAUAUCUAGCGGGUAUAAUUCAACCCAUAUUCUGCUCAACCCAACACUUGAUUUUAUUGAGGAGUUCAAAUCAAGGUACGUGUCAUGCGUCUUACGUUCCAGACCUAUGGAGGAGUUCAAUACAUAUAGAUGUUUAUUUUAAUUUUAUCACCUCAUUUUCACCGACGGAUUUUUAAAUUAUGUGUGAUUAUUUGUGAUGGCAGUCCCCCUGAUGAUUCACUUGCUCUUACAAACAACGAUAGUAGCCAAUAGUCUGUUGGUACCGCUACUUCUAUUCGUGCCAGGUUUUUUGUUCUUAAUGAGAGGCUAACCAUCAGAGAGAUCAUUGACAGUACCCUGGUAUAUAGACUACACUCUUUGAUCUCAAUUUUUUUACACAUGCGUAUACUCCAUGUGUUAUCAAUGCUUUUAACAUAUUGUUAUUGACGAAUAGGUUGGCACUUUUGUCACUCUGGGGACUAUAUCAACAAUUGAUACUGAAUGUGGCUGGCAAUAUUUAAGUUGCAAAUACCACAACAAAAAAGUGAUGCCUACAACCAAUGUUGAUGCUGAUGGCCGGCCCUUGUUCUUCUACAAUACGUGUGACAAAGAACACAGUGAUGUCACUUCCAGGUAUUGAGCGGGUUAGAUAUACAAAUAGAUGAGUUGGGUAAAUCGUCAUUGAAAUAGUCUGUGACGUUUAUUAAUAUUUUUGUACAGGUUCAAAUUAAUUGCCCAUGUCAAUGACGAUAGCGGUGAGGCUAAUUUUCUUUGGUUGAUGCUAAUGCUCAACAAAUUGUGCGUCAUUCUGCUGCUGAACUCUAUGACGAGGUACUUUUAUGCAAUAUAAUUGUACAUCAAUUAACAGAAUAAAUUCGUUGAUUGGACCUGAAUGUUUAUCGAGAAAUGUUUGUUUAUUAUUUACAGAAUAAAUUCGUUGAUAAAACCACAAUUGUACAUCAAUUAAAACCACAAUUGUACAUCAAUUAAUAGAAUAAAUUCGUUGAUAAAACCAUAAUUGUACAUCAAUUAACAGAAUAAAUUCGCCGACAUCUACUUUAUCGAGAAAUGUACUUCAUAAUUUAUAUUAUUUAUGGAUAAUAUUUUGAUUUUUAUAAUAUUUUCUUUAAUAUGUCUACAUAAAUGUUUGUUUAUUAUUUAUGGAAAAAUAAUAUUAUUCACUUAAAAUAAAAAAUUACGACACAUAUACAAUACAAUUCUAAUUAAUGAUAAUAUAAAAUCUGUUACUUCUAAAACUAUACACUAUUUAUUCUAUUUUUUGAAUGAAAGUAUCUUCGUAAACACACAAAAUAUUUUGUGACGUUGCAAUUAUACAUACACAUAAUAUCUGCCUCUUUAUACUGACGUUACUGUGUUCCCUCUCGUGAGGUGCGGACCGAGAGAGAACACAGAGUGCGAACCGGUCAUGUUCUUAUGCCUGCACAGGGUGCGGGCUGGUCACCUAGUAAUAAAAUAAAUUAGAUAUAAAUGGAAGAGUAUAUACAUUUAAAUUUUUGAGAUUAAGCGUAUAUCAUCAUUUGAUCCAACUUAUCAUAUAUUAUUACAACUUGAAGGUUAUCAUGUGGAUAUUUAACACUCAAAAAGUUAUGAAACGAUGAGUGAUAUUUCUCAGUUAUGCUUUUGCAGCCUCUACAUUCACACAAAGAAAAAAGAAUUUUACUUUUUUUUUCUCCAACAUAUUCUCUUUCCAUUUCGUACCCAAAUGUCAAAAAUUCUACAUUUUCCACAAAUAUCACUAAAAAAUAAUUUAAAAUUAAUUUACUCUAUAAAUAAAAUUUGUAAAAACACAAUUGGUUACACAGUUCUCGAUAAAAUAAAUUUAUACUGAUAUAUAUAAAAAGUUUAAUUUGUAAAACCAAUAGAAGUUUCUUUAAACAUCAUAUAUAUAUAUAAUCGAACAUCAUAUAUUGAGAGAGAGAGAGGAAGAUAUAUUUAAUCUAAGAAUAUCCACUUUAGUAAGAUUAAGAACAUUCUAGUAUUGUUAUUUGUUACAGAUCAUAGAACAUACGAAAUCGAGUGUUUUUUGCUUGGAGUUCGGUAAGGACGCCUUUUUUAAUUGUCAUACUAGGAAAAUUUAUUUGAAAAUUAUUAUUUAAAAAUAAUAUUAAAUAUCGUAUAAAAAUUAUUUAAAUGAUAUCGUAUGGAAAAAUAAAAUUUAUAUUCUUGAUCGAAUUAAUAUUUUUGGCCCUUAAACAAUUUAAAAUUUUUCUUCUUAAUUACAUAAUUUGUUUCAUGAUGAGAUGAUUUUAUUUUUAAAAAUAUUUUAGGUCAAACAAUCACUUAUCGCAUAAGAAACUAACAAUUAGGCCGACAAAUUUCAGGCCUGCUAUUUGGUUACAAUGAAACUAUGUCAGCUCGGUUUCAUAUCAUGAUUUAACAAUUUAAAAGUUAAUUAUGGUUAUGAAAAGUUUACGUUUAUGUGUCAAUCCUAUCUAUCUUCAAUAUUUUUCUCAUUUUUGGGUCGUUUUUUUUUUUAUUUUGGUUAUUGCUCGAUAUAAAUAUUGAUUUUUGAGUUUAUUCUCAUUUUUUUUUGGCCUGAGAUCUAGAAAAUGUUUAAGAUCUGGGCCUUCUGCAGAAUAAAUAUUUUAUAUUUAUUACUUAUUUUUGUUUUUCUACAUAUUAUGAAAUAAUAAAAUAAUAAUUAUAUAUUAAAUAAAUAAGAAAUCAAUUAUUAUUAUGUAAUAAACUGGCGUGCUCUUAUAAAUCAAAUGACCACUUUUGUUUAUUGAUAUCACUCAAAUUACCCUAAGGAGUGAAUUACUUCUCAAAUAAGAAGUUCAAUUGUAGUACUUAGGGAUCGAAUCCACAAGGAGCUGGAGCACACAAUAGAUCUAAAUAGUUAUACGAUUUAGCUAGGCUAAUAGGUAUUAAAGUAGUAAAUAUAAUAAACUGCAAGGCGAACAAGGUAGUUGUUAGAGUUUGUUUAAUGAAAGGAUGGUUACUAGACUUAGGGUUUCAUUCAGGUUAUUAGAACUCUAAUACAUUGAUGCUAAGGAUUGAUUCUAGAACUCGAUAUCUAAUGCAAAAGAUAACCAACUCUCACUGUGAGUGUAAUCUAUUGACUAAGUUCAGUGUCUCAGCACUCGCAUGUUAACACGGAUCGAGCAUCGAUCGAUGCUAUGGUAUGAGCGUCGAAUGAUGCUACGGUAUAAGCAUCGAUCGAUGCUAUGGUAUGAACGUCGAUCGACGCUGCCUUAGGCAAGCGUUAUCGAUCUGAUCGAUUGUGUUCAACUAGAUUCCUAGACCAACGCUAGUAUGUGCCUAGGUAUCUAAUCCAACAGGAUUCAGGUUCUGUUAAUUGAUUGCACUCUCGUGCCUUUCAAUUGUCCUAUGAUUCUAGGCUCAAACAAUUAGUCACACUCUCGUGGUUUUCCAACUACUCUAGAUCCUAGUAUUAGAAGCUAGCCUGAUGUAGAGAUCUUAAGAUAUACUAACAAUCAUAUAAUUCAGAAGUUCAUUCAAAACCCUAGAAAUUCCUAAACCUAGCAGGUGGAUCUACUUAUGCAUGAUGUUUGUCACAAAAAUCAUAGAUGAAUAGAUGAAUAACAUAAAAUAUAAAUAAAACUAAAACCAAUGGAGUUUCAAGAGAACUCUGAAGAAGUUCCUCCUUUCUCUCCUAACCUAAGACUAUGAAUAAAAAUAAAGCGUACCCGUCAACAAUGGCUUAGAAAACACAUAAAUAGGAUUUUAGAUCGUCCAAGGGUAUUCUGGUAAUUUAUGGUUGCUUCUGAGCUUCAGUUGGUCAUAAAAUAUGCUCAGACCAUAUUCUGGUAUCACCGUCGACCGAUGGCAAGGGUACACUGUCGAUCGACAGUCCUUCAUCUUCUUGACAGCUUCUUCUCACAAGGCACACUUACCACUCUUCAAUAAAAAGGGCAUAAUUUCUGCUAUAGGAUGCUGAUUGACCUCUAACCGGUGGCAUUUGAAAGCUAACUCAAUGUUAUAUCUUGUGUUAAAAUAUGGGUUCAAUAUAACGGUGGAAAGGUCUCCAUCCAUAGCUCAAUAUCUGACACGUAUCCGCUCGGAUAUUGGUUAUUACAUUUUUACACAAUGAUAUUUGUUUUUUUAUUAUUAAUAUUAUAUAUUUUAUAUAUGUCAUAAUAUAACUAAUUGAAUCCAAAAGACCUACAUCGAAUCGGGUAUAGUUAUUUUUGGUACAAAUAUCCGAACCCGUUUCAGAUAUAUUUGUUAUUUAGAUAUUCUUAGGUUCAUAUACAUCAGAAUCAAACUCUUCCAGACCGAGAAGGACCCAACUCAAAACCCACACAUAAAUUUAUAAUAUUCAAGCGGAGCUUGAUGUGAAAAAGACGAUAUCCGAAAAGAACACCUCGUACCUAAAUGGAUAGCCGUGUUCAUGCCUUACUGAUUUUAUAAACUAAUAAAAAUGAUUUUUUUCUAUGUGUUUGACUAAAUUAAGUGAAAUAGAAAAAAAAACUUAAUUUAGUAUAAUAAUUAUAUGGAGUAAAAAAUUAAGUGACAAUAAAUGUAAAAUAUUUUUAUUAUUUUGAUUUAAGUUAUUAUUUUAUUCACAAAACAUGUCUUAGGCUACAUAAUUUUUCACCGAUUGAAACUAAAAUAAAUAAAAAAGUUUUAGUAAUACAAACUAAACCGAAUGUUUAACCAUAUGCAAAACCCAGUUAUUUUACAUUUUUGAUUUUAUAAUUGGCGUAAAGUUAAUAUUGAUUAACUAAUAAAUAAAAAUUUGCACUAUUAUUAUAAUGGUAAUAUAAUUAAUGAUGUGAUGUAUUGUUAAGGUAAUAUAAAUAAUGAAAUUGUUAAACUGAGCUAAAUAUGGAAAGAUAACUAAAGUAAUUAUAUUAAUAAAAUUAAUAAAAUGACACUAUACUUCUUUUUUAAAUACUUGUAUUUAUGUUUCUAGACAAUUCUUAUUAUAUUGCUAGCAAUAUUUUUAAACAAUUUUAAAAGGUAUUUCAAUUUUAAUAAUAUAGAUGACAAUUUUAUUAGUAAUUUGAAACAUAAAACUUUAUAACCAAACGGUGGUAGGCUGAUGAUAAAAGAGAAAUUUGGAAUAAUGGGUAAGCCCGUCAGCCAUGAACUAAGUUGCCAUUUGAAUGGCCAGAUGAUAUGGAACCAUGCUUUACGGUUCAUUUGGAAAUUCGAGGCCUGACUAUUCCUAUGGAAAUUCGAGACCAGGCUAUUCGUUGGUAUUUUCUCUUGAGAGAUUAGUUGAACUUUCGCCCAUAUACCUCUAUCAAUAAAAGAAAAGUAAAACUUUAUAUAAGAGGAUCACCAUUUACCGAAAGGGACUUACAUGAUAAGGGGCUCCUACAAGAAUUAUUUUUAGUGGGGCCUGAGGAAAAAGUUUUAUUUUACGGAACACAAGGCACGGCGGCGUUGUAGAUCACUUGGACAUAAUCUUCCUUGUCUGCAACUUACAAACUUAUGGUCAUGUCGCAAAGAUGCCUUUUUAGUUCUCUUCUCUCUGUUCUUACUCUUAUCUACUUGGUCUGUACUACAGUCACUGCUUCUCCUUCGCUGCACCCAGAUGAAGGUUGAAUGGUUUUUAUUGCAUCUAUAUGUAAUGUCGCCAAACAAAAUUGGCUAAUCAUCGUGAAUUUGAACUAAAUUUUGUUUUCUUUAUGAUUUGUUUGUCUUUACCAGUGGAAGCCCUUAAGGAUAUUGCAUCGACGCUUGGUGUUAAGCACCUGAACCUAAGUGAAGAUCCAUGUCUCACAAAGACUCUGGUGAUAACUCAAUAUGUCCUCAAGGAAGGUCAGAACAGCACAAUCAGAUGUGACUGUCGUUUCAACAACAACAACACUUGUCAUAUCACACACUUGUAAGAAACUAGACGUUUGUUUCUAUUGUUUUGGGAUCUAUAUAACUAAUGUUACUUCACGUGCAGUAUCAUUAAGACAUUCAGUCUUCCGGGUAGACUUCCACCAGAACUCUCAAAGCUCCAGUAUCUUGAAUUAAUGUGAGGAGGGAUCUUUGUGUUUAGUUUCCUCUGCUUUCAAUGUUUAAGUUGACAAAACCGGAGCAUUUUUGCUGUGUUUGUGUAGUGACUUGUGCCGGAAUUACCUUAAUGGCUCAAUCCCUAUGGAAUGGGCCUCACUGCCUUACCUCACAUCUAUGUAAGUCUUCUAUCUCGAAUUUCUUGUGAAGGAAGUGAGAAAUGCUUCUAAAUUUUCCUGAAUUUACCUUUGUAGCACUGUUUGUGCCAAUCGCCUAUCAGGAGGCAUUCCUAAAGGCCUGGGGAAGUUUAUUAACCUCACUAAAUUGUAUGAUUAGAUAUGAAGUUUCAUCAUUCUGGAAAAUUGGAAACUAAUUUUGUUUUUCGUAUGCAUGUUUUUCAGAGAUCUUGAAGCCAAUCAAUUUUCUGGAACUAUCCCUAUAGAACUUGGGAACCUAGUUAACCUAGAAGGAUUGUAAGAAAAAAAAAUGCUUUUAACCAAUCUCUAGAUCAGUUAUUCAAGAUUACAGACUAGACAAAAUAAUACUGCUUUUGCUUUUUGCUGAUUCUCCCAGAGUACUCUCUUCUAACCAACUAGUUGGAGGCAUACCCAAGACAAUAGCAAGACUAAAAAAUCUGACAAAUCUGUAAUUAUCAGUUUACUUUUCAUUACAAGAUGGUCUCUUAACUCUGUUCUAUAUAAUUAUUGUGUCUGACACUUUUUCAUUCUAUUGUUUGCAGCCGUUUCAGCGAUAAUCGCCUUAAUGGACCCAUUCCGGAGUUAAUGGGGACCUUAGCUAAACUUCAAAGAUUGUAAGCCAAAUUUUUUGAAAGCUUGAAGCAUUUCAAUCAGUGUCAAUGUUAUCUGAUUGUGCCUAUUUUUAAUCAGAGAACUCUAUGCAACUGGCCUAACAGAACCUAUUCCAGACUCCAUCUUUCAACUAGAGAAUUUGUUCGACCUGUAAGUAAUCCUCUCUCAAUACAUCCAAGGACGAAGAUACAGAAGCAUAUUGGUCUUCUCAAAUAUAAACUGUAUCCAUUAUUUUCAUUUUUUUGUCUAUGUAGGAGGAUCAGUGACACAACAUUGGGACAAUUUCCUCAUAUAACUACCAAGAACCUGAAAUAUUUGUAUGCAAUGUCUUACAACUAUUAAUGUCUCUGCUCAAGCAAAUCUUGUUUAAGGCUCAAGACUGAUUCUGUUAAUUUUAUAGGGUUCUCAGAAAUAUGAACUUAACCGGACCUAUCCCAACCACUAUCUGGGAUCUUCCCUAUCUCAUGACUCUGUAAGUUUAAUGUAUAUCACUCGGCAUUUUGUGUAAUACCAUCCAAUCUUUCGACAAUGAUACUUUUCUUUCUUUUUCGGGUAGGGAUCUUUCGUUUAAUAGACUGACUGGAGAAAUACCAGCAGAUGCAACCGCACCAAAAUAUACGUAUGUCCCAUUAGUAUUAAAUGAUUAGAGCAUGUUGGAGUAUGAAGAAAAGUUUUAGAACUCAUCUCAUGGUUUCAGUUUUUUUUAGAUAUUUGGCUGGAAAUAUGUUGUCAGGAAAAGUUGAAUCAGGACCUUUCCUUACUGCAAGCACCAAUAUGUAUGGCCAGUGUCACUUUCAUGUAAAAAAAAUAUCUCAACCUUAAUAGGCUAUAAUUUCUUGCUUUUAUUUUGGCUUUUGCAAUGGACAGUGAUCUUUCGUAUAAUAACUUCACAUGGUCUCCAAGCUGCAGAGAGAGGACGUAUGUUCUUCUAUUGUUAUCCUAACUAUUGUUUCUUUUUUUUUUUAAAAGCUACUGUUUAUUUUUCUUUUUAGACUUUCUGAAAGCUUGAUGACUAUUAUGUUUUGAUGCAGGAAUGUAAACACAUAUGAGAGCUCAAGUUCACGAAACAGUCUGUAAGAACAUUUUUGACCAAUCUAACCAAUUUCACAAUGCAUACUGUUAUUAACUCUUUUUUUUUUUGGAACACAAUGCAUACUGUUAUUAACUCAUUGUUCUUAAUACAGAACCAGACUUCUUCCAUGUUCUGCCAUAAACCAGUGUAAAAAUUGUAAGUGUUGUUUUUGUUUGUCUUUUGUUUUGCUUCCAUUUUCAAGUUGUUUUUAGGUUGAGUAUGAUCUUAAAAGAAAUCUAAUUUUUUACAGAUAGUAGAUCCCUUCAUAUAAACUGCGGGGGACCUAAUGUAACUAUCGAAAACUCUCGAGGAAGGUUCUUAUACGAGGGUGAUAACUCUGGACUAACCGGUUCAGCUAUGAACUAUCAUGGAAAAAAAUGGGGAUUCAGCAAUACUGGUGACUUUAUGGAUGAUAUAAUAACUGAAGAUACAUACACAGUUUUCUCAGAUUCUGUAGUAUCAGCAAAAUACCCUGAGCUAUACCAGACAGCUCGACUUUCUCCCCUGAGUCUGGCCUACUUUGCUUUUUGUUUUGAAAAUGGAAGCUACAAUGUAAAACUCCAUUUUGCGGAGAUUCAAUUCUCAGAUGAGGAACCAUAUGUUAGACUAGCGAAACGCUUCUUUAACAUUUACGUUCAGGUACAUAUACAUCUUUUAGCUGCGGAUUUCCCAAGAAGUCUUGUUAACGUCUUUGGCUAAUUCUUUGUUGUUUAUUCAGGGUAAGUUGAUUUGGGAGGAUUUCAACAUAAGAGAAGAGGCUAAUGGAACUCACAAGGAAGUUAUAAAAGAAGUGAACACAACCGUGACUGAUAACACUUUAGAGAUACGGCUUUACUGGGCAGGGAAAGGCACAACGAUCAUUCCAAAAAGAGGGCAUUAUGGCUCUCUCAUAUCUGCAAUCUCAGUCUGUCCCAGUAAGUAGAAGUUCUUUGGUAUAAAGUAGCAUCAUGAGCUUGCAUCUUGAUUCAUUUCUUGUUCUUGUUUUCUCAGGUUCUGAAUCUGAAUGUGGCGGUAAGAAAAAGAAAUGUUCAGUCGUUUAAUCCUAUUUUAGGCAAAAUUUAUAUAUGAAUAUGGAUCAAUAUUUCUCCCAUUAUUUUUCUUGUGUAUAUCUUCAGCUCAAGUACAUCAUCCUCUUCUAGUCAGAAAAGCACACAAACCAAGAAUAUAUCCUCUCAUUCUCGUCAUAACAACCCUGAUACUCUCUCUUGCUUUCUUGAUUGUCGGCGCAUUCUACUGGAAGAAAUGUGUUAGAAAUGAAGAUUCAGGAAAGAGAGGUAAUAUCAGUUAAAGUUCUGUUGUUGGUGUAUUUGUAAAAGAAAGAGCUAAUAGAUUUAAAAUGAUAACAGGUUCCUUCAGUUUGAAGCAACUAAAAGUUGCAACUGACAAUUUUGAUCCAUUAAACAAGAUUGGAGAAGGCGGCUUUGGAUCUGUAUAUAAGGUAACAAAAGUGUUUUUAAGUUCUAGAAAUGCCAAUGUACUAAAAAAGACGUGAGUACCAAGUUAAUGCCAGUAAUUUGACAAUACAGGGGAGAUUACCAGAUGGAACUUUGAUAGCGGUAAAGAAGCUAUCUUCAAAAUCAUGUCAAGGUAACAAGGAGUUUGUAAACGAGAUAGGUAUGAUCGCCUGCCUGCAGCAUCCAAAUCUUGUGAAGCUCUAUGGAUGCUGUUGUGAGAAUAAUCAGCUUCUUCUUGUCUAUGAGUACUUGGAGAACAAUUGUCUUGCUGAUGCAUUAUUUGGUAAAGUUCUGACUAUGAAACAAAUCUUGUUGCUGGAUGCUUAGCUUCUCCUGUCUUGAAGUUGACUGUUUUCUUGUAACUGUUGUGUGCAGGAAGAAGCGGUCUAAAACUAGAAUGGGGAACAAGACACAAAAUAUGCGUAGGAAUCGCGAGAGGGCUUGCUUUUCUUCACGAAGAUUCAGCAGUUAAGAUCAUUCACCGAGACAUAAAAGGGACAAAUGUACUCCUAGACAAGGAUCUGAACUCAAAGAUUUCGGAUUUCGGGUUGGCUAGGCUUCAUGAAGACGAGAAGAGCCACAUUACCACCAAAGUUGCUGGAACAAUGUCAGUUUUGUAGUCAGUCAUACACAUGAAUCCAACAUUUGAUAAUGUUUUUCAGUAUCAUGUUAAAAUGUUGUUUUGGUUGCAGAGGCUACAUGGCUCCUGAAUAUGUAAUGAGGGGUCACUUAACAGAAAAGGCAGACGUUUACAGCUUCGGUGUGGUGGCCAUGGAGAUUGUUAGUGGAAAGAGCAAUGCUAAUUACACACCAGAUAACGAAUGUUGCAUUGGUCUUCUCGAUUGGGUACUGAACCAAUACUUCCCCCACAAGGAUCUGCGUUGCGUGCUUAACAAGGUUCUUGAUUUUUCAAUUUCAGGCGUUUGUUUUACAGAAGAAAGGAGCUUUCUCAGAGAUUCUGGAUCCGAAGCUUGAAGGAUUGUAUGAUGUGAUGGAGGCACAGAGAAUGAUAAAGGCAUCGCUUCUAUGUUCCAACAAGUCUCCGACCUUAAGACCAACCAUGUCGGAAGUUGUGAAGAUGCUUGAAGGUGAGACAGAGAUAGAACAGAUAAUCUCAGACCCUGGAGUGUAUGGAGAUGAACUGAGGUUUAAGCGAUCAUCAGAGAUUGGGACAUCGUCCCUACCUUCAGAUUACCUCGUGUCAAUUCCUUUGUCUUGUCACUUGUGAAUCUGCUUACGACCUGUACCCUCUUAGUCCACAGGCCAUUGUUUUAUUUUAUCUAGACCGUAGUGUAAACAGAGCUUCGAGUCUAUGAUGAAAAAUUCUGAAACUCGACCACAAUUGUGAAACAUGUCCACACACAAUUAAACGUGGUGAACUUUGUUAAGCAUUUUCUUGGAAGCUUUAAAGACUCCAAAACAAUCUCUUUUCAAAAUCAGAUGCAGCUUAGAGCAUGGGUAUUUAACCAAAGAUUCUCAAAAUUAGAAAAUAUAAAUAUUAUAAAUUAAUAGGCUUAUAUAUCUAAAUAUACUUUGGUGUGAGUUUCCCAUAAUUUUAAAUAUCCAUAAUUAAAUACUAAUUUUUGUAAAGAAAACACUAAUUCUUUUAUAUAUAUAUAUAUAUAUUUAUAUAAUAUUUGGAUUGAGAACUUCGUGGUGAGAAAUGUACGUUACAUGGAAUCGCCCGUG